UUGGAGGGCAAGUCUGGUGCCAGCAGCCGCGGUAAUUCCAGCUCCAAUAGCGUAUAUUAAAGUUGUUGCAGUUAAAAAGCUCGUAGUUGAAUUUCGGGGUCAGUAGGUCGGUCGUGCCACUGGUAUGAACUGGUUUUACUGAUUCCUCCCUCUUGAAGAACUGUAAUGCCAUUAAUUUGGUGUUGCAGGGAAUCAGGACUGUUACUUUGAAAAAAUUAGAGUGUUUAAAGCAGGCUUUAGCUCGAAUACAUUAGCAUGGAAUAAUGAAAUAGGACGUUUGAUCCUAUUUUGUUGGUUUCUAGGAUUGACGUAAUGAUUAAUAGGGAUAGUUGGAGGCAUUAGUAUUCAAUUGUCAGAGGUGAAAUUCUUGGAUUUAUUGAAGACUAACUACUGCGAAAGCAUUUGCCAAGGAUGUUUUCAUUAAUCAAGAACGAAAGUUAGGGGAUCGAAGACGAUCAGAUACCGUCGUAGUCUUAACCAUAAACUAUGCCGACUAGGGAUCGGAUGAUGUUAAUUUUUUAAUGACUCAUUCGGCGCCUUACGGGAAAC
rnacentral:rRNA from 1 species